rnacentral:tmRNA from 1 species
GGGGGCGUAAAGGUUUCGACGGGACUAACAAAGUAGAAUAAGCGGGCAGAGUUUUUUCUUUCUCUUUAAAAAAGAUAAUUAAAUUUUAAAUGCAAACAAAAUUGCAGGUGGAGAACCACCAAUAAACAAAAGAAGAAUUGGAUUUGUUUCAAAAAAAUCUAAUUCUCUAUUAAAGGUAGCUUAAUAGAACACUACCGAGCUUUAUUUUAAUUUGUUGUUGCGGUUAAUUUAAAGCUUCAUUAAAAGCAGCAAUAUCUUUUAGACUGCUCGAGUCUAUUAGAGAAAUUUAGAGCUAACUCACAUUUUAAUUUGCUUUUUGUUUAUGUGUGAGGAAAUAAAAACAAAAAGCUACGCUCGUAGAAAGUUUUAUGUAGUUUUUUUCGGACAGGGGUUCGACUCCCCUCGCCUCCACCA